rnacentral:rRNA from 1 species
UACGUAGGGUCCGAGCGUUGUCCGGAAUUACUGGGCGUAAAGAGCUCGUAGGUGGUUUGUCGCGUUGUUCGUGAAAACUCACAGCUCAACUGUGGGCGUGCGGGCGAUACGGGCAGACGUUGAGUACUGCAGGGGAGACUGGAAUUCCUGGUGUAGCGGUGAAAUGCGUAGAUAUCAGGAGGAACACCGGUGGCGAAGGCGGGUCUCUGGGCCGAUACUGACGCUGAGGAGCGAAAGCGUGGGGAGCGAACAGG